GUUUUUUUUUAAUCUGUUUUAUCUUUUCAUAAUACCGGAUCCCCUUGGGGAAGGACAGCGAGGACAUUGUUCCUGAACAAGCACUUUAAAGACUAUCUGAUCUAAAGAAGAUCUGUUCAGCUAAGACUUUUAUACCUUAAUACCAUCCUAUUACAUUUUAUAUUAUAUUUUAUUGGUCUAUUUUGGCGCAACCUUUAUCUUUGAUUGUUUUUAUUCUUCUUGUAUUUGAAGGGUUUUUGAGGGAUUCCCUUUAAGGGUUGCAGCCUUAUUGUUAUUUUAGCGCUUACUCUCUUUCUUGAUUUUAAUCCAAUAAAUCAGUCUGUGUCUCCUUCCUUUAAAUAAAUCAUCAUUGUCAAUAGAGGGUUCUCAGUGCAAUGAUAGAGCUGAUUGUUUAGUCUUUAUUCACUCAAAGAACAACUGAAAGGUACUAGGUACAGAAUAUGUAGGGUUUAAUACAGGAAAGUGGCAAUACGCUUACUGUUAUAGCAAGAUAAAGGGAACACUGUAGGCACCAUAACCACUUCAACUAAUUGAAGUGGUUAUGGUGCCUGGAGUAUGUGGGAGUGCUGGGUAUCGCAUCACUGCUGAAUGGUUUGCUCACCUUUUAGUAGAGAUGAGUCUCUAGCAAUCUGCCACCUGGCCUCCACUAAUAUGGCAGAGAUGGAGCUAUACUCUCGACUAAUUCUCAAAUCGAAUUCAUACCAGGGAUUGGGGCAUUGAUUUUGCGGAGAGCGCUCCGCUUAGACUCCUAUUACUGCCCAUUACACAGGUAUGGCGUGAAGCAGAACAUAGCUCCUCCCCCACAAUUUUGUCAAUGGAGGCAAGGCUGAGCAUCUGUAAAACUGUGAGCAACUGCUUCCAUGGACUGGAGGCAUAAUAACCACUUCAAUAGAUGGCUAUGCUACCAACAUUGUCCCUUAAAUGCUACACUGGGUACUGUAGAUAGCUAUUAAGCAGAUUUUCCAUUUUCUGUUAAGAGAAACCCCCUAUAUUUACUUGCAAGGAGUAUAUACAAUAUAAAUGUCCCUUAAAUUUCUCUCUUGCUUGGUUUUAGGAUUUUGCUUAGCUAUGUAUGUUUGGUACGGCAAUCUUGUAACUGUAUAAUUUAGAUUUUUGAAAUGUGUUCUUUAACACAUUUAGAUAUGUUAAUAUGUAUGUUUUCCCAACACUGAACAAUCUAGAUUCAUAUUUUCUAAUACUCUCAUCAAUUAUUCCCCCAAGUAUUUAGGAUUUUGGGGUUUAUGAAUUAUUUUCCAAAGGGCGCUGUCAUGUUCUUAAGAUUUGGGUUCAGCAGAUUUUUAAUACACUAGCUCUUUACGGUAGCCUUAUAAAUGUUAAUUCUUUGUUCAUAAAAAUGUACUUAAGUACCAGGGAAGUGUUAAGUAAUUGUUGAUGCGAUAUAUAUAUAUAUAUAUAUAUAUAUAUAUAUAAAUCUAUAGCACUGCAGAAUUAUAUAUAUAUAAUAUAGAUUCCACAUUAGGAUUUUUUUUAUUUUUUUUUUUUAAACGUAGCAUUUUUAAUUUUUUUUUUUUAACAGUUUCAGUACCUAUCCACUUUUUUAUAACUCCACCUCCUGUUGGGAGCUGUUACGCUGUGCUGCAACCAACGUUUAUACAAGAAUGUUAAGUUGUUACGUUUAUGAAAAGUUAGUCAGGCCAAGAGGAGGCAUCCAGUCUGAAAUAUUGAUCUGGCGAAAGAGAAUGAGGAAAUGAAGAUAAAAUACUGCAGUAUCUAUAUAGUUAAAAGGAAAUUAACCCAGCGCUGCUUUACAAUCCUCAACCACUGUUGCUUUUCCUGGUAAACAGUAGAAAAUAUUGAAAUUUUGAUUUGACUGUUAUGCAAGAUUUCAGUGUUGUAGGAAUUUCAGGCAUGUUAGAAAUAUUCGUAUCUGCACUCCAAGAUUCCUUCAAGUUCAGAAACGGCCUGUCUUAAUAUCAAAGGGAAUGCUUAUAAAGAAAUUUCUCUGUUCAGCUAUGGUCCUAUUUAUCACACUUUUUUGGUCACCUUUAGUGUGGAUAAAUGUGUUUCUCUAGUGAAAUCCUGACAAUUCUGGGUUAGUGCAUAAACCUGCGUAUUAAAGUUAAAGGAACAGUAAACUAAAAUAUUAGAAAGAAACACUCUAAUGCAAUCACUACAGUCUUCUGUAGUGGUUAUAUUGUCACAAGUUCCCUGGCACUGUUUCACAGUGAGUAGUCAAGCCAUUUUUGAACAGUAUGAUGUCUGGGGGAUCCUCUGGACAGUUUAAGUCCUUCCAGGCUCUCGAUUAUUGCUAAGACUAUAUAAUGUCUGCUUUAUUCAGAUUAGUUAUGGUGCCCAGACGUUCCUGGCACUUCCUUACCUGAAGGGGCUAAACCAUUCUUGAACAUUUAACCGCAAAGGUUUCUCUCCAGCACCUGAUCUCCUGGUCCCCAGCAGCCGGAGUUUCUCCAAUGUAGACUGGCUUAGAGUGGUCAGCUAACUCUAUAAGUCAAUUAGUACUAUUAGUAGUAGUAAAAAAAUGAAACUGCAUUGGAGCAACUUGGAUGCCACUGGGAGAUCUAGCACUGGAGAGCAACCUUUGGGGUUAAAGUGUUCAAGAACAGUUUAACCCCUUUCAGGUAAGAAAGCGCCAGGGACCUCUGGGCACCAUAACUUUAUUAAUGUAAUUUAUAAUGGUGUAAAAUAAAAUUUCUUUAACUGGUUACUUGUAACUUACAUUCUCACCUACUGAAUGAAGCGGCAAGAUGCACAAAAUUGAUUAUUUGUACAACUGUAUGAGAACUUUUGUUUUAGCACAGGAGGUGCUUGGGGACUUGUGUUACCAUAACUUCUGCAGCUUGCGUACUAGUUAUGGUGCUUGAAUUGCCUUUUUAACAUAGUUUUAUAUAAGAAGUUCCUUAAUCUGCAAAAUUCAUCACAAUAUUAUUUCCAGUACAAUAUUUUAGCAACCUGACCUGCCUGAAAUAUUUGGCAACAAGAGGUGCAAAGACUAGUUUUAAAAAACUGCAUGUUAUUAAAAGAAAUUAAUUUUAUUUAAAUUCUCUCCUAGUUCUGAAGAAAUGUUUGUAAUAAAUGUUAUCUUUCAGGCAGGGUAUAUAUUUGAAGUAUCAGUCACUAAAGAUUUUACGUCUUAUAACUGUUAAAGGUAUUAAUUUGAAUGACUUUUUUGCAUAAUGUUUUUUUUUUUUUUUUAGAGGAAGUAUUUGUUUUUUUUACGAUGACCAUUCUUGUGUGAUCAGUUUGAUGCUGCAGUAUUUUUAUGGUGUUAAAGAAAUGAUGGCUAUGAUUAGGUUGACAUUUUCAGAUCAUGAUUAAGAGGAUUUUGUAUCAAAAUGUGUCUAUGUAUAGUUUCUAAAGAAUAUGUAACAUAAUUACUUUGCUUUACCUUUACAGUAAAAUAUGUAAUCUGUUACACUUUUAAUAAACUUAUAUUUUACUUUUUCUAUAAAACAA